UAUGAAACUAGUUUGUGACAAUCAGGCAGCUCUACAUAUUGCCUCCAAUCCUGUCUACCAUGAAAGGACCAAACAUAUCGAGGUUGACUGCCACUUUAUACGCGAGAAGAUUGUGUAUGGGAGUGUCA